rnacentral:tRNA from 1 species
GGUUCGGUAGUUCAGUUGGUGGAACGUCUGCUUAACACGCAGAAGGUCAUCGGUUCAAGUCCGGCCCGGAUCG